AACGAACGCUGGCGGCGUGCCUAACACAUGCAAGUCGAACGAGAAAGGGGCUUCGGCUCCGAGUAAAGUGGCGCACGGGUGAGUAACACGUGGGUAACCUGCCUCUAAGAUUGGGAUAACUCGUCGAAAGAUGAGCUAUACCGAAUAAGACCACAGUUCCCGCGGGAACAGGGGUCAAAGGUAACCUCUGCUUGCAAGCUAUCACUUAGAGAUGGGCCUGCGCACCAUUAGCUAGUUGGUAGGGUAACGGCCUACCAAGGCAAAGAUGGUUAGCUGGUCUGAGAGGAUGAUCAGCCACACUGGAACUGAGACACGGUCCAGACUCCUACGGGAGGCAGCAGUGGGGAAUAUUGCGCAAUGGGCGAAAGCUUGACGCAGCAACGCCGCGUGAGUGAUGAAGGCCUUCGGGUCGUAAAGCUCUGUCGGGAGGAACGAAUGCUCCUGAGGUUAACAGCCUCGGGAGGUGACGGUACCUUCAAAGGAAGCACCGGCUAACUCUGUG
rnacentral:rRNA from 1 species